AACAAACGCUGGCGGCGUGCCUAACACAUGCAAGUCGUACGAGAAAGGGUCCUUCGGGGCCUGAGUAAAGUGGCGCACGGGUGAGUAACGCGUGGAUAAUCUGCCCUUCAGUUGGGAAUAACUCAUCGAAAGGUGGGCUAAUACCAAAUAAUGCUGUGAGACCUCGGUUGAUCAGCCAAAGAGAGCCUCUGCUUGCAAGCCCUCGCUGAAGGAUGAGUCCGCGUACCAUUAGCUAGUUGGUGGGGUAAUGGCCUACCAAGGCGACGAUCCGUAGCUGGUCUGAAGGGACGGCCAGCCACACUGGGACUGAGACACGGCCCAGACUCCUACGGGAGGCAGCAGUGGGGAAUAUUGGACAAUGGGCGAAAGCCUGAUCCAGCAAUGCCGCGUGUGUGAAGAAGGCCUUCGGGUUGUAAAGCACUUUCGGUGGGGAAGAAAUACUCAAGCUUAAUAAACUUGAGGGCUGACGUUACCCAUAGAAGAAGCACUGGCAAACUCUGUGCCAGCCGCCGCCGUAAUAC
rnacentral:rRNA from 1 species